rnacentral:rRNA from 1 species
UACAGAGGUCCCGAGCGUUGUUCGGAUUUACUGGGCGUAAAGGGUGCGUAGGCGGUUGGGUAAGUCUGAUGUGAAAUCCCCGGGCUCAACCCGGGAACGGCAUCGGAAACUACCUGGCUUGAGGAUUGGAGGGGGGACUGGAAUUCCCGGUGUAGCAGUGAAAUGCGUAGAUAUCGGGAGGAACACCAGUGGCGAAGGCGAGUCCCUGGACAAUUCCUGACGCUGAGGCACGAAAGCCAGGGGAG